AUCUUCACCAACAUAUCCAGCCUGCGUUAAGGUUGUUGCAUCUGCAAUAACAAAAGGCACAUUCACAAAACGGGCAAGGGUUUUUGCAAGUAGUGUUUUCCCUGAUCCAGUAGGCCCCAUCAAAAGCACAUUGCUUUUUUCCAAUUCCACAUUUUCUUCAUUAUCUUCCUUUGUCGAUUCUGCUCCAGACCCUUUUUGCAAUGAAGCAUGGUAAAUCCUUUUGUAGUGAUUAUAAACACCCACCGAAAGCACCUUCUUGGCACGCUCUUGACCUAUAACAAA
rnacentral:misc_RNA from 1 species